UACGUAGGGGGCAAGCGUUGUCCGGAAUCAUUGGGCGUAAAGCGCGCGUAGGCGGCCUGGCAAGUCCGCUGUGAAAGUCCAGGGCUCAACCCUGGAAAGCCGGUGGAUACUGCCGGGCUAGAGUCCGGUAGAGGAGAGUGGAAUUCCUGGUGUAGCGGUGGAAUGCGCAGAUAUCAGGAGGAACACCAAUGGCGAAGGCAGCUCGCUGGGACGGUACUGACGCUGAGGCGCGAAAGCGUGGGGAGCGAACAGG
rnacentral:rRNA from 1 species